rnacentral:rRNA from 1 species
UACGGAGGGUGCAAACGUUGCUCGGAAUCAUUGGGCGUAAAGCGCACGUAGGCGGCCUGUUAAGUCGGGUGUGAAAGCCCUGGGCUCAACCCAGGAAGUGCACUCGAAACUGGCGGGCUUGAAUAUGGAAGAGGGUCGCGGAAUUCCCGGUGUAGAGGUGAAAUUCGCAGAUAUCGGGAGGAACACCGGUGGCGAAGGCGGUUCUCUGGGCCUGUACUGACGCUGAGGGGCGAAAGCGUGGGGAGCGAACAGG